rnacentral:rRNA from 1 species
CUAUGCUUAGCCCUAAACAUAGAUAAUUUUACAACAAAAUAAUUCGCCAGAGGACUACUAGCAAUAGCUUAAAACUCAAAGGACUUGGCGGUGCUUUAUAUCCCUCUAGAGGAGCCUGUUCUAUAAUCGAUAAACCCCGAUAAACCUCACCACCCUUUGCUAAUUCAGUCUAUAUACCGCCAUCUU